rnacentral:rRNA from 1 species
GACGAACGCUGGCGGCGUGCUUAACACAUGCAAGUCGAGCGAUGAAGCACCUUCGGGUGUGAAUUAGCGGCGAACGGGUGAGGAACACGUGAAGAAUCUGCCUUCAACUCUGGGAUAACUCCGGGAAACCGGGGCUAAUACCGGAUAUGAGCCUUGAUCGCAUGAUCGGGGCUGGAAAGUUUUUCGGUUGAAGAUGACUUCGCGGCCUAUCAGCUUGUUGGUGAGGUAAUGGCUCACCAAGGCGACGACGGGUAGCCGGCCUGAGAGGGCGACCGGCCACACUGGGACUGAGACACGGCCCAGACUCCUACGGGAGGCAGCAGUGGGAAUAUGGGCAAUGGAGGAAACUCUGACCCAGCGACGCCGCGUGAGGGAUGAA